rnacentral:rRNA from 1 species
ACAAGCGGCGGAGCAUGCGGAUUAAUUCGAUGCAACGCGAAGAACUUACCAAGGCUUGACAUACACCGGUAACGCCCAGAGAUGGGUGCCCCUUUGUGGUCGGUGUACAGGUGGUGCAUGGUUGUCGUCAGCUCGUGUCGUGAGAUGUUGGGUUAAGUCCCGCAACGAGCGCAACCCUCGUCCUAUGUUGCCAGCGGGUCAUGCCGGGGACUCAUGGGAGACUGCCGGGGUCAACUCGGAGGAAGGUGGGGAUGACGUCAAAUCAUCAUGCCCCUUAUGUCUUGGGCUUCACGCAUGCUACAAUGGCCGGUACAAAGGGCUGCGAUACCGCGAGGUGGAGCGAAUCCCAGAAAGCCGGUCUCAGUUCGGAUUGGGGUCUGCAACUCGACCCCAUGAAGUCGGAGUCGCUAGUAAUCGCAGAUCAGCAACGCUGCGGUGAAUACGUUCCCGGGCCUU